AGAGAGAGAGAGAGAGAGAGAGAGAGAGAGAGAGAGAACCACCCUACCACCACCACCACUACCACCACCAUCACCACCAGCCUCUAUCCAGCCACGCAGUCCCCCGCCAGAGUUCGCGGGCAGCGGGAUGGACCCCCACGCGACGCACCCUCCGCUCUCACCACACGAGGCAACCACCACAGCCACCGCCACCACGGACGAGGCGGAGACCUACACGCCCCACCAAGACCUGAAGAAGCCCCAAGCCCUCAGGAGAAAGCUAGUGAAGGUGAACAGGAGGCUUCGGUCAAUGUUUACCUUCUCGCGGUCCUAUUAUGCCCAGUAUGUGAGGUACCGGUUCUUGAAGGUGCGUUGGAUAAAUAACUGUGUGGUGAACUUCAUGUAGGAGGCGCUGAAGGAGGUGGUGGUGGUGGUGGUGGUGGUGGUGGUGUUUUGUUAUUGUUGUUGAUAUCGUCGUCGUUGUGGUGAUGGUGGUGGUGAUGUCGAUGAUGGUGAUGGUGGUGGUGAUGUGAGCUUUACCUUCGUUUUCUGUCUGUGCUUCUGUAUUCUCUCUCUCUCUCUCUCUCUCUCUCUCUCUCUCUCUCUCUCUCUCUCUCUCUCUCUCUCUCUCUCUCUCUCUCUCUCUCUCUCUCUCUCUCUCUCUCUCUCUCUCUCCUUUUUAAUCUCUUGUGUAUAGCUUACUUCUGUUGUUUAUCACUCUUUGUGUCUUUUCUUUUCUUUCGCUUUGUCUUUCUCCUCUCCUGUCCCUCUCACUCUUCAUCUCGUCUUUGUUUUCCUUUCAUAUUCCUUGCUAUUCACAUUCUUCCCCUUCUUCGCUUUUAUUUCAUCCUUUCUUUCUCUUUGUCUCUCCCUUCCUCCUUCAUGUUCUAAUUCUUUCACCUCAAGCUCUUAGGUGUCUCUCUCUCUCUCUCUCUCUCUCUCUCUCUCUCUCUCUCUCUCUCUCUCUCUCUCUCUCUCUCUCUCUCUCUCUCUCUCUCUCUCUCUCUCUCUCUCUCUCUCUCUCUCUCUCAUCGCCUUCACUGCGUCCCCUCUCGCUCUCCCCUCUCCCCCAAUUCUCUCUUUACCUCUCGUAUACCUCCCUCUCUCCCUCUCUGUCUCCGCCUCUUCCCUCCUUCCUCCCUCCUCUUUUCUCUCUUCCCUUCUAUCUCAGCGUUCUGUCCCUCCCUCCCUCUCUGAUUCUCUCUUUUUUUCUCUCUCUUUCCCUUGCAUUUCUCUCUUUCCCUCCCUCCUCUGCACAUCCCUCCCUCUCUGCCUCCCUCCCUCCUUCCCUCCACCACACUAUUGACGGUAUCCUGGACAAGGCCACGUCCCGCACUGACUCACCUUAAAACUGACGACCACGAAAAGCGACUCCUCUUCAUGCGAUUUAUCCCAAACCGCACCGAUCUCGACUCAUACUUAAAGACGGCCAGAAAUCCAAGGCCACAUGAAUACGUCUUCCCUAAGAGGAUCCGGCAAUUCAAAGUGACUCACCUUUUCAGUGGAGACGAAUUCAAGAGGUCCCAUUGACAGCCAAAAGGGACGGAGCCACUAAUUACCAGAAGGUCUUUGUGAAUCAACCACACAAGUACCUAUUGACUACCAUCAGAUCCUGGUGGUUAGAUCCUUAAGAAGACCACGUGAACACCAGUCUAAGAGGUCCCAUAGUCAAAGCACAAGUUCAGAGGUCCUUGUAUGUAACUCUUGACGAUAAGGGACUAAUAUGUCAACAAAUUAGUCGUAGUAACAACUCAACACCUAAUGACUACAGCAAACAAGAGGCUGCUGUCACUGCCAAGAGGUCCCAACGAUACAAAGGAUUACUGAAGGUUACAAAGGUUUCAACACCCCUGCGAGGAUUCACAAAAGAACUCAUUAACAUACAAAGAGAAUCCAGUACCAUAUUAAGAGGAUCGAAUACCAUAACAGGAGAAUUGAAUACCAUACCAAGAGGAUCCAAUACCAUACCAAGAAGGUUCCGUACCAUUCCUGAAAGUCACGGUAAAAGAACCCCAGGGAAAAGAAUAUACGUGCUCUAUUCCACCGUCGCUCGUGCCUACAGGAGUACAGCGCCCCAGGGUGUCUCGGGACAUCAAAAGCCUUCUGUCUCCUCGCCGGCGUGGGGAGAGGGAGAGGGGAGGCGAAGGGAGCGGUGGAGGCAAAGGAGACAAGAGAAACAAUGGAGAUCAGGUCGGUGUCUUUUCCCGCUGUUGGAAUCUCACGACACCAGGCUUCUCCUCCUCCUCUUCCUACUCCUCCACUGGCUUCCUCUUCCCUCAGUCCCGUCGCCAUAAGAACCACUGCAGGUAAGGAUUUAAUGGCUCGCAGAUACACACACACACACACACACACACACACACACACACACACACACACACACACACACACACACACACACACACACACACACACACACACACACACA